rnacentral:tRNA from 1 species
ACCAAAAUAGCUCAGUUGGGAGAGCGUUAGACUAUACAUCGAAGAGUCUCAGGUUCGAACCCGGGUUCCGGUA